UGGUAUUGGACUUAGGGAUACCCAACAUAAUAAUUCUUUUAUUAUACCUUGAUAUUUUAUUUUAUUUAUCCCCUAAAAAUCGAUUAUCUUUCCCUUACAUGUACUACUCAACACCAUCUUCUUCAAUACUACUUUUCAAAGCCCAAUUUCAUGAGUUUUAAGAACUAAAACAACAAUGACUUCCUUCUCAAGCCAUUCAAACCUUUCCCUCUCAUUCCUAUCCUUCUUUGUCUUCAAUUUUCGAAGGAAAGCAAAGUCCUAAUCCAUCUUCUUUAUUUGAUUUUCGAAGCAACAAGGCCCUAAUCCAUUUGAUUUUUGCCUCUGAUUUUCGAAGAAACAAGAUUCUUCUUUCUCUUCCUCUGAUUUUUGAUAGAAUGAAACAAGUAUAGUCCUUUUUGAGUUCCUUUCCUCUUUGCGUUUCUGUGUAGCAUCAAUUAUAUUAAUUUUUUAAAUUCAUUUUCGUUUUUUUCUUUUGAAAUUUUUGAAAUUUCGAGCCCUUGGUCUUCAAAUUCUGCCGAAAAUAAGGGAAAGCCAAAAUCAAUUUAUGUUGCCUCUGAAUUCUGCCAAAAAUGAUGAAAUCGAAUUCAAUUUUGCUUCUGUUUUAAUUGUGUGCCAAAUCUUUAUUUUACUUCUGAUCCUUGCCGUAAACAAGUUUGUUACAGAUCCGAACCAGUCGGGAAUGAUGGAUUAGCGGAGUUGAUUAGAGUUUCCGAGGAUGUUAUAAUGAGCUGAGCACGUUAGAGUUUUGCAGUUUUGUACUAAGCUUUGGUAAUAUAUUAGUCUAGACUGUAUUGGUUAUGUAGGACUUUUAUAGAAACUUUUAUGAUUAAUUUAUGUAUUAGAUAGAUGUUUGGAUUGAGAAUUAGCUGAUUUAGUUAUGAUUUAGAACUAAAGACUCUUUGCGCAA